rnacentral:rRNA from 1 species
GACAGAGGGUGCGAACGUUGUUCGGAAUUACUGGGCGUAAAGCGCGUGUAGGCGGCAGCGCAAGUCGGGCGUGAAAUCCCACGGCUCAACCGUGGAAGUGCACUCGAAACUGCGCAGCUAGAGUCCUGGAGAGGAAGGUGGAAUGCUUGGUGUAGAGGUGAAAUUCGUAGAUAUCAAGCGGAACACCGGUCGGCGAAGGCGACCUUCUGGACAGUGACUGACGCUGAGACGCGAAAGCGGUGGGGAGCAAACAGG